UACGUAGGGUGCAAGCGUUAAUCGGAAUUACUGGGCGUAAAGCGUGCGCAGGCGGCUUUGCAAGACAGAUGUGAAAUCCCCGGGCUUAACCUGGGAACUGCAUUUGUGACUGCAUGGCUGGAGUGCGGCAGAGGGGGAUGGAAUUCCGCGUGUAGCAGUGAAAUGCGUAGAUAUGGGAGGAACACCGAUGGCGAAGGCAAUCCCCUGGGCCUGCACUGACGCUCAUGCACGAAAGCGUGGGGAGCAAACAGG
rnacentral:rRNA from 1 species